AGCGAACGCUGGCGGCGUGCCUAACACAUGCAAGUCGAACGUGAAAAGGGAAACCUGAGUAAAGUGGCGUACGGGUGAGUAACGCGUAGGUAAUCUACCCCAGAAUCUGGAAUAACCUGCCGAAAGGCGGGCUAAUACUGGAUAGAGCGAGGGAACUCGUAAGAGAGUUUUUCGGGAAAGGGAGCCCGCAAGGGCCUUCGUUCUGGGAUGAGCCUGCGUCUCAUUAGCUAGUUGGUAAGGUAACGGCUUACCAAGGCGAUGAUGAGUAGCUGGUCUGAGAGGAUGAUCAGCCACACUGGAACGGAAACACGGUCCAGACUCCUACGGGAGGCAGCAGUGGGGAAUCUUGCGCAAUGGAUGAAAGUCUGACGCAGCCACGCCGCGUGAGUGAAGAAGGCCGUCGGGUUGUAAAGCUCUGUCGGAUGGGACGAACAUCUUCAUAGUGAAUAGCUAUGAGGACUGACGGUACCAGCAAAGGAAGCACCGGCUAACUCCGUG
rnacentral:rRNA from 1 species